rnacentral:rRNA from 1 species
UACAGAGGUCCCAAGCGUUGUUCGGAUUCACUGGGCGUAAAGGGUGCGUAGGCGGUCGGGUAAGUCUGAUGUGAAAUCUCACAGCUUAACUGUGAAACUGCAUUGGAUACUAUCCGGCUCGAGGAAUGGAGGGGAGACUGGAAUACUUGGUGUAGCAGUGAAAUGCGUAGAUAUCGAGAGGAACACCAGUGGCGAAGGCGAGUCCCUGGACAACUCCUGACACUGAGGCACGAAAGCUAGGGGAGCAAACAGG